AAAAACAUCGCCUCUUGUAAACCACAGAUAAGAGGUCCCGCCUGCCCUGUGACUAUGGGUUCAACGGCCGCGGUAUUUUGACCGUGCAAAGGUAGCGCAAUCACUUGUCCUUUAAAUGAGGACCUGUAUGAAAGGCAUCACGAGGGCUUAGCUGUCUCCUUUUUCAAGUCAAUGAAAUUGAUCUCCCCGUGCAGAAGCGGGGAUUAGAACAUAAGACGAGAAGACCCUAUGGAGCUUUAGACACAAGACAGAUCAUGUUAAGCACCUCAUAUAAAAGAGCAAACUAAGUGGAACCUGUCUUAAUGUCUUUGGUUGGGGCGACCGCGGGGCAACAAAAAGCCCCCAUGAGGAAUAAAAGUAUUCUUUCAAAAACAAGAGCCACAGCUCUAAUGAGCAGAACAUCUGACCUACCAGAUCCGGCAUAGCCGAUCAACGAACCGAGUUACCCUAGGGAUAACAGCGCAAUCCCCUUUUAGAGCCCCUAUCGACAAGGGGGUUUACGACCUCGAUGUUGGAUCAGGACAUCCUAAUGGUGCAACCGCUAUUAAGGGUUCGUUUGUUCAACGAUUAAAGUCCUACGUGAUCUGAGUUCA
rnacentral:rRNA from 1 species